AUGAGCAUUCAGGCACUGGGGUGGGCCAUGGGGGUCGGUGAUCAGCUGGUUCUGCAGGGAGUCCAGGGCCGUCCUCGGACCCCUUUUCUUGAGACCACCUUUUCUUGUCUACCUAGAUCAUCCACUGGUCCUGAUCCUGUUCGUUGCCUUCCAUGUCUUGCAUGUCCUCAUCAUCCUCUGAGUCCUCUUCACUGUCCUCGUCGUCAUCUUCAUCUUCCUCUCCCUCGUCGUCAUACUGCCAGGCCUGAUGCUGCUGUUCUUGCUGCUGCAGCUCUGUCUCCUCCACACAGGGUCGAUCCAAAUUAAACCACAGUGUCUCAGUCACACGGGGGAAGAGUGAGGGGAACAAGGUGGACAUGGCUCCUGCUCCUUCAUUGGGUUUUACACAAACCAGGGCCUGGGCUGAAAGCAGAAGGCAGGAUGGAGAUAGGUAUUUCCCAACAGUCAGAAAUAAAUCCAAAGCCGCAGGCUGGAGUGAUAAGUCCAUGGCUCUAUGCAGAGAAUUCUCCAGGAUCCAGGAUGGUUUAUAGCUGAGUGGUGUGAAUUCACUGCUAGUGAGAGCCGCUUCCAUGGUCCUUGAGGAGUAUGGCUGGCCCGUCUGGAGGUCAGAAGUCUAAAAUCAAGGUUUCAACAGGACUGCAUUCCUUCAGGAAGCUUUAGGAAAAAUCCGUUUCCUUGCUUUUCCAGCCUCCAGAGACUACAUGCAAGGCUGCGCUGGUGGCCUUUUCUUCAUGUCACUCCAACCUCUUGUUUCCAUCUUUAUAUCUUCUAUGGCAAAAUGAACUAUUAUUAUUAGCAGAUGUGAGUUUUCUGGUUCUAGCCCUUGUGUUAGGUAGUUAGACAUUAACAGAAAGGAGGUGACAGAAGCAGAUAAAAACCAGAGGGGAAUAAUCAAGCUAAGCCCCAACCAUCUGGAGACUCUCCUCUGACACUAAGAGGCGAUGGCGGCUAGAGACCAGCGGGGAAUAGUCCAGUUAGGACCCAGCCAUCUGGAAACCUUCCCUCGGUCCCACCCAGGACAGGUGACACUAUGGUCAGGUGGCGGGCAACUGAUCCUGAUAAAGAGGGAGCACUGUGACACAAGAGAGCUUCCCCGGGGUUGCGCAUUCCCAGACUAGACCGGCGGAUAACCUCCAGUAGGUGGCGGUAGUCGUAAAUAACCCUCCUACCAAUGCAGGAGACUUAAGAGACACGGGUUCGAUCCCUGAGUCAGGAAGAUCCCCAGGAGAAAGGAAAUGGCAAUCCACUUCAGUCUUGUAGACUGGAGAAUCCUAUGGACAGAGGAGCCUGGCAGGCUAUGGUCCAUAGGGUCUCAAAGAGUCGGACAUGAAUGAAGUAACUUAACAUGUACAGCAUCCAAACCCAAACUCAUUAUAUCAACACUGUAAACAAAUCUGCAUGUGGUUUUGCCCUCCUCUGGGU
rnacentral:lncRNA from 1 species